CUAACCAUGCAGUUCACCUUAAUGUUCUCUCUCACAGAGCCCCUUUUCAAGAGUUGCAUAAUUGAUACUGCCAUCAGCGCUCUCGCAUUCUUUCAGUGUAGCUAAGAGAAUAGGGUGGAGGAGAAUACAGCAUAGAGACCCAAGAUUGUAUAACAGAAUUAAGCCUGUUUUAUUUCACAAAAUAUUCCAUUCAUUAGAAGUGAAAAUUUUCAUUGCAAAUGAACCAAGGCAGGUAGCCUGAACUCAUUCUUUGUUUCUCCCAGAAGAGAUGAUUUCAACAGAUGGUAAAAACUCAGUAAAGGAUUGGCAUGUGCCAAUCCGUUAUUUCAAAGGAAACGUAGGUGCUUCACAAAGGGUCCCUUUUUUUUCCUCCUGUGGCAUUAUCUUUUCGAAUACCCUUCACUUACAGAAUACAUGUGUGUUCUUAUCACCCUGAGAGAGCUGCUGCCAGAGGGAAAAUGUUUUCCCAGCCAUAAUCUGACUCCAGAUGGAAUCUCAGGAUUGAGUACAAUGAAGAUGCUUACACUGUAGGUGCCAUCUGAGAUCCAGAACCUAUACCUGCAGUAAUGAUCAGGAACCUCUCUGUUGGAAGAAUCAGCCCCUCUGGAUAUUUUAGAACACUUUUGAGAGUUUCGUUAUAAUACAAUAAUGAGGAAGAUGAUCGAUUGUGCUAGUCAGGUACUUUCUGUCCUCACAAAUUCUUACAGGAAAGAUGUUAAUGUGUCCUUUUUAUGAAGGAGUAAUCUGACCCUCAGGACAUUUAAAUGACUUGCCAGAGGUCACACUGCUGGUGAGUGAUGCAGCCAGAAUGUGAAUUCAGUACUGUCAUUUUGUGGGUGUGUUUCCCAGGCUUUGUGGUACUACUGCUGCUGCUGCUUAUUUCCGGCUUCAGUGUCGGUCUGAUCAACUCUUCCCAAACACCCACACGUUGGUGUUGAAUCCUUGUACUGAAGGCAGGUGCAACACAGAAUCCAGGCUGCGUCUGCGACCUACGCUAUAGCUCAUAGCAACACCGGAUCCCGGACCCACUGAGCAAGGCUAGGGAUUGAACCUGAAUCCUCAUGGAUACUAGUCAGAUUCAAUUCCACUGAGCCACAAAAAUUAUUUUUUUAAGCAUUAAUCCAGUGAGUGGAAUUUGAGAGGCUAUUCAAAUUCUUGAGCUACUUCCUAGGGAGAAUUCAACUUUUUAAAUUAUCUGGAGAGAGACUCCCUACAAAGUUAGACCUUCAGAGUGGUGCCAGACUCAGAAACAAAACACAGACAGAACUCUCCUGUGCAACGAUGGUGAAUAGACAGAAUCAAGUGAAAGGUCCAAGGUGAAGUCAAGAUUUGAAUGGUCCAACCAGCACACUACAGUGGUUCCAUGGUGAAUAAAAAAGAAGGGUGGGCUUUUAUCACCAGUGAGGGGAUAAUGACCAAUUAAAAUGGAAACAAAAAAAAAAAUCUAAGAGAGAAAAAAGGGAGAUGAGUGUGACAAAUAGCAGAGAAAGCAAAUGCAUGGUUGUGUCAGAAAAGACAAGAGAAGGUGGAGUUCUUUGUAUAAGAGGUGACAAUAGGGUGUCAAGUGACAACUAUUCUGAGAACAGAAGAGAAAUCUAAGCCAAAGAGAAGAAAUCAUUUCUGUGUUUAAGAGAAGGAUUAGGAAACAAAGAACAAUUUAAUUAUUAGAGAUAAUAUUGCUAAUUAUUUUUAUUGUAUUUACUAAUCUCUUCUAUAUAUGACAGUUAAUUUUACUCUUCACAAAAAUUCCAUGUAGUCGGUUACCUGGAUGCUUCACCCUCUGUUUUAGAAAUACGGGAUCUUUAGUAUCUGUGAGACUAAGAGACUUUAUUUUCUUGAACUAUUAGUAGAGCUGAAUAAAGUGUAUGUUCUGGCCUCACCUAUUUCUCUUUCUCUUUUACUGUGGACUGCAGGGCACCACUGUGUAAUGUUACAUCUAUCAGAGGAUGGUUUUACCGCAUAUGCGUGGGGCUUUUAGUUAUUGGACUAGUCUGGUCUUCUGAAUUAGCCAUAGGGAUAAAGAUUUAUAAAAAUUGCUGCACUGAGUGUAUUUUACCUGUUGCAUUUUACUAACCUAGGCUAAUUAUGGUGCAUUCAUUAUAGAAUGGGGGCCAAUUAUGUCAGGCUCUGACUUGGACUGUCAGAGAGGAUGGUGAGCUGAAAACUCAGUGGGCCUUUGCAAUGGAAACAGGAAGCCAGAUGGACUCAGCUGCAGCAUAUAGAAAGGGCGUAGGAACUAUAGUGGUCAUUUGUUGUUCCCUUCUCUGCUUCCUGGUUGUGAAUACAAUAAAGCUGACCUGUCACCUCUCCACCCUCAAGCCACAGGGAUUGGCAUGUGCCCCUCACUGGGUCAAUCAGUGUCUUCCUUGGUUACUUUUUGCCACAGUAGGUGGAAAAGAUGGUUGUUGUCCACAGGAAUUGAUCGGGGGAUGUUGAUAUGAGGCUGCCAGCUGCCAUUUUACCACCUGGAGGGAGCCUGACAGAAAACUCAGAGAACCCCUGGCCCCACUGAUGGAGCCUCCCAAAGAAUCAGGUGCAUCCUUGAACUUCCCACUUGAGGUAACAAGUAAAUCCUCAGGUUAUUAUGAUGUGAGAUUCCAUCAUUCUAGAAAUCAGUCAUAUACAAAUACAACUGGCUGGUGUGUAAUGAUAAUAGUCAACACUGGUGUUUUCUGGUGGCUCCCGGAUUAAGGAUCCAGCAUUCCCUCUUCUGUGGCACAGGUGGGUUUGAUUCCUGGCCCUGGAAUUUUUGCAUGCCGUGGGCAUAGUCAAAAGGAAAGAAAAAUAGCACUUAGUGAAAUGAAUGCUAUAAUGUGAGGCAUGCUUCUAAGAAAUUUCAUGCAUGAAUCAUUUAAAUCUCACAACAGUCCUAUGAAGUAUACACCAUUAUCAUUUCUAUUUUACAGAUGAAGAAACUAAAGCUUAGGGAGGUCGCAUGACUUUCCCUUAGAUAACAGCGAUAGGAAGAAAUAGGGCUGCAGAACUGGGAUUUGAACCUAGAGAGAAAGUGAGAGCUGUUUAUACACAUGCAUACACUUUAUCUUUAUAUAUACUUUACCUCUUUGUAAUGUGAAAAAAAUUUCAAUAAAAAUGUUAGAAAAUUAAUGUUGGUUAUGUGCAUGGAAAUGAGUAUCUUAAAUUUUAUCCCAUUGUCAUGGACAAUGAUAGACCUUACUGCUAGAGCUUAAAAAGCAACUAUAGAUUUAUGAGUGUUUUGAAAGGAUGUAAGUAGAAAAUUGAGUAUUGCUAUUGAAGUAUCCUACUAUAUGACAUUGAAUCUCCGAAAGAGCAACUAGUUAGCUGGUCAAAGCUUUUUCAGAGGUAAACAAAACAAAAACCUAGAAGCAGCUAGAUAGAGGCACCAGAGUGCAUUGUUUAUGAAUAUCAUUUAGGGAAACAUUGCAGUGGGAAGAAUCUCUAAACAGAUACUGAGAAUGAAAAUAUUUUGUGAGCCAGAACAUAUAAUCAAGCCAAGUACUGGGACAUCGCAAAGUUAGAAUUUAUCAUAAAACUAGAAAACAGAAAAACACUAUAUUAGGGAAGUUGCAGAAGAAUUCCGUAGAUAUUUCAGAAAAAAAAAUAUCUCAAAGCAGCAUCCAGUUCCUGGGUACUUUGUGUAGAUGAACCUAAAUCUAUUUUGCAAGGAUCCCAGGCUCUAAAUUAUAAUUAGUGAAUCCCAUGCCAAGAUGUAUGUGAAAUUGAACGGGUUAACUCUCUCACCAUGACCAAUGAUACAGACACCCUAAAAAAUAAAUGUUCUAAUUUUCAAAAGUGUCAAGGUCUUAUCACUUCCUAUUGUAUCAUGCAAAAAAUGCAAAAACUGCAGGCAAACGCUUUUGAAAUACCUGCUUUUAUGCUUUCAGGAAAGUAAUGUCUUAGAAUCAUGAUUGUGUCUUAGGACUGGGGUUGGCCAAUGGGAUAAAUCCAGCCCUCCAUCUGUUCCUGAAGGGCUGGUACACUAAGGAUAUUUUUUAAUAUAUUUAAAUGCU
rnacentral:lncRNA from 1 species